rnacentral:rRNA from 1 species
ACAUCUCCCCCUGACCUAUUUAAUUGGGGGUAGGCCCUGCCCAGUGGAGUACUUCUAAACGGAAAGGAUAACUUUUAAAGUAGCGUAGUAAUUUGUCCCUUAAUUAGGGUCUGUAUGAACGGGUCGACGUGGGAUAACUGUCUUGAAAAAAUAAUUCGAAAUUUUCUUCUUAGUGAAAAGCACUAAGAUAAAUUUAAAAGACGAGAAGACCCCGUCGAGCUUAUGAGAAAAUGGGAUUAAUCCUUCUUCCUAUUUUCCAGCUUUGCUGGGGUAACAAAGGAGAAAUUAAACCUCCUAUUUAUAAUAUAGAUCCCCUAUUUAGUGAUAAAAAGAAAAAGCUACCGCGGGGAUAACAGCGCAAGACAGCCAGAGAGUUCUUAUAUAAGGUUGUAAGUGCGACCUCGAUGUUGGAUUAAGGUGGGCUCAAGGGUGCAGCAGCUCUUGAAGCGGGACUGUUCGUCCUUAAAUCCUUAAC